UCCAGCCCUGCUCCUGGAUCAGCUGGACCCUGUGGUGUGUGCACUGGUGAAAAAUGGCUGGAUUGUCAGGUAUCUUGCUUCCCUGAGGACCACACAAGCAAGCAGGAAUUAGUGACUUUAGCAGAGAGAAAUGUUUUUGAAUGUACUGAAGCAAGGUUCACUGGUGAAAAAGUAACAAGAGGAGAGUGCUCCUGUGCUUUAAGGGAAACCAGCAGCUGAUACAUUUCAGUGGAUUCCUUGGAUCCUGUGAGAUGGUUAAGAUGGGAGGCUGAGCAAGUGAAGAUUUGCACUGGGCCUGGGGUGAGAAGCCUUUUCUGGCAGUGCUGAGAUAAAACAAGCAGCUUCUGACACUUACACUGAAAAAGUGCUUAGACAAAGAUGUUCCUGCUGAUUAAUAAACUUGCUGAAUGAGGGACUCUGAUCUGCAAUCCCUGUUGGAUUUAGGCACAGCAUCCAAAGAGGUUACAGAUCCCACAGCUGGCUGAGAGCUCUGGGUGCAGCAGUUAAAGGAAAUCCAGCAGGGCUUGGGAAUCACAGCCCUCAAACCCAGCCUUUCCUCAGUUCUCACCCAGCUUCUCUUCUGGCCUCCUUCUCUAUGGCUUUUCUCUUGUUGAUAUUUCUGUCACAGCCCUUUGUGCUUUGCUUCUGCCCAGUUUCACCCAGAAGGGAUCUCCAAAGCUGUGAAGCAAGUUUUCUUCCACACUUAGGUUCUCAUGUCCCCCUUUCCUGGGUUUUCUGUGUCUCUUUUUUCCCCCUCCUGAAUCCUGGCCAUGCCUUUGUGUAUGUGUGGGUGUGCUCAUUUCCAAUGUAUUGCUUUACCUGCAGUGGGGAUCAGAAAUAAAUCCUUGGGGGAGCAGAGCAGGAAAAGCAGCACAAUGGGCUUGAGAGAAAGCACUCUGAUAAGCUCUUAAAUGGAACUUCCAGGUCAGUGACUGCCAUGUUCCUCACUCAGAGGACAUCUCCCAGCCUGUCCAUUCCCAGUGCUCCCAGUCCCAACCUGCUGAUUCCUAGCUGGGCAGGGAUGAGCUGCCACUGUGCCAAGUGAAGGAAAAUGACCUCCAUUCCUCUGUUUCUGUUGUAUCCUCAUCCCCUUUCUAGUGACAGUCAUUGGAGCAGGAGCUAUCUGGAAGAAUGAGGGUCCAGCACAGUGUGUCUCUUAACCAGGACACUCUGUCUAUGCUGGGCCAUAGAGGUGGGACAGUCUGUGGGUAAGGGAAGCUUCCAGCUUGGAAAGAGGCACAGAAUCUCUGACCCCAGCAGUGUGGUUUAGUGAGUAUUAACUGCAAUCUAAUGAGUUUUGUUAUUUCCAGAUCAGUCUACUGCUCUGGAGACCCGCUUGUCACGAGAAGAACAAUUUUUUUCACUCAAGUUCAUUCUUCCACAAAGCUGGCAAAUGGGAUUCUUAUCUUCAGGAGCUCUAAGAGCAGUUCUUGGUAGGGUUAAGUGUCAGCUUUUAGCAGGAAGUGGUAUUUGAAGGUUUGGGAAUCAAUGAUAAAGUACUUACAGAAAUAAAGGAGUGGCUCUGGGUAGGCUUGGAGAUGUUAUAUAUUGUUUUUCUUAAAGCUAGGAGUUGUCUGGAACACUGACUAGAGAGGAGAAAUUUCCCUUUAGAAUCCAAAAUGUCCUUGCUGUGUUCACCACAAAAGGGACUUGAAAACUCAGAUUGGUUCCUGUGGGUCAAAGCCCAGAUUUUUGUUUUUAAUAUGGAUUUGACAGAAAUUUUCUGAGUUGGGAACUCAUAUUAAGGCUUGGAAAGGCACAGAACACCUGCCUCUGGUAGGGACAAUUCCCUGACAAAGAGAGCAGAAGAAAUCCCUCCCUAAAACAGAGGGAAUGGCUAAAUGUGGCAUCACAGGUGGAAUUUGUGAUGAUGGUCCCUAGACAUAAAAUUCCACCUGUGAAAAUUCUCCUAAAGAAAUUACCCAUUCAUUGCCCCUUGCCCAGUGCCAGAGCACAGGAAAAAGUCUGAUUUCUCUGAAGAAUGCUGAAUUCUCUUGAGAAUGCAGAAUAUCCCCCUUUUUAUUUUUGUUUUGGCAGGGGGAUUUUUCACACUGCACUCCAGACCUGCUCCUAGCUACAAUGAGAACCUGAAACAAUCACCUGUUAUAUACUGCAUAACUGAGGGGGAGACAUGUGGGACCUCCUAUGUGGAUUGAAAGAUUAGAGAUUUUUUUGCUGAAUAAUAAAUUAACGAGGUAUUUCCACAACUCUCCAGCUCAUAUUAUUCUUAUUAUGUAGACCAGGUUAUCCUAAAGCAGAUCUGCAGUCCAUGUGCACAGGUAUGCACUGGUUUGGUUUAUGACUGAGAUAUUUAUGCAAAUACUAAUUGGAAAAGGCCUUUGCCAGUGCUGAAUGGACAUUUUAAAUGGCUUUGCACAGGGAAGAUGUGUUUUGACUAACACUGCAUCGUUCCUUUUGUUCCCCAGUCCUCAAAUAGAACUGUUUUGGCUUGGGUGGGGCUUUUUUAAGAUGAAAUCUUUAUGGAAUUGGUAUUAUCUAAUUACUACUUCUUUUCCUGCCUCAUUCUCUCAGGUUACUGGCACAACUUGGGAAAAUAGAAGUUAAAUAAUCUCCCUCCACCCUAAGCUAUUCCAACACUACAUUGAAGGAAAAAAAACCAACCCAACCCAGCCCUAACAUAAAGCUCUGUAAUUCCAGUGUGACAUUUUGCAGCAGGGCACUGGCCAGCUGAUCUAAAUGUGUCUGCCCAUGAAAACUUGGGGGAGAUUUUUGCAAUGUUUUGUCUGUAUAUCUUAAGCCCUCAACCUAUUUUUGAAACAGAUUUAGGAAUCCAGUUGGGAUCAGCUUUCAGGGCUGCCCCAGUCUUUUCUUGUUAGAUUGUCCCUGGGCAUUUGUCAGGGAAAAAGGCAUUUUUAAAGAUAAUUUGAGUAGAAGUAGAGCAACAGCAAGUAUUUGCAUGCUAAAAGGUAUUACAGAAAUGAAAUACAGCAUGAGAUUAGGGUUGGCUAUUUGCCCUGAGGGUUUUAAGUGGAUCUGCUGAUUGAGUGGUGGGGUGUAAGCUUUGAGUUAUUUUGCACUGACAUGAUCUCUAAUUUAAAUGCUUUGGUAAGGAAUUUUGGAGAACCACAAGCUGUGGAAUUCUUCAUAUGACAAUGCUGUAAAACUAGAUGUGAACAUGACAUGUGCUGUGUUUUGGGGGUAUUUAACCUAUUUUUUAUGCCUAAAUAAACUUGGCUUAAUUGCAAAUUCCCAAACCCCUCCAU